GACGAACCGAGCGACCGUUAUUCGGAAUCACUGGGCGUAAAGGGCGCGUAGGUGGCCCGACAAGUCACUGGUGAAAGCUCGACGCUCAACGUCGAGUCGGCCAGUGAUACUGUUGGGCUGGAGCACUGUAGAGGCUCAUGGAAUUCCGGGUGGAGCGGUGGAAUGCGUAGAGAUCCGGAAGAACACCGGUGGCGAAGGCGGUGAGCUGGGCAGUAGCUGACACUGAGGCACGACAGCGUGGGGAGCAAACAGG
rnacentral:rRNA from 1 species